GGGGGGGGCGGGGGGGGGGGGGGAUGCGGGGGGGGGGGGCGCUGGAGGGUGGUGCUGGUACCAACUGGCUGGGCAGCGACCGGGUGAGUGCCGCGUAGGGAAUCUGCCUUUGAGCGGGGGAGAACAUUUGGAAACGAAUGCUGAUACCGCAUAAAACCUUUAACCCCCAGUUUUAAGUUUGCAAGAGGCAAUUGACUCACUCCAGGAUGAGCCCGCUUUGUCUUAGCUAGUGGGGGAGGUAAAGGCUCAGCAGGGCGAUGAUACAUAGCCGACCUUAGAGGGUGAUCGGCCACAUGGGGACUUAGACACGGCCCAAACUCCUACGGGAGGCAGCAGUAGGGAAGCUUCGGUAAUGGACGAAAGUCUGACCGAGCAACGCCGCGUGAGUGAAGAAGGUUUUCGGAUCGUAAAACUCUGUUGGUAGAGAAGAACGUUGGUGAGAGUGGAAAGCUCAUCAAGUGACGGUAACUACCCAGAAAGGGACGGCUAACUACGUG
rnacentral:rRNA from 1 species